CCUGUGUCUCUCCCCUUGCCCCCGUGCUCUCUCUCUCUCCCUCUCUCUCUCCCUCUCCCUCUCCCUCUCUCUCUCUCUCUCCCUCUCCCUCUCCCCCCCCUCUCUCUCUCUCUCUGAGCUCUUCUCAUCUCACCGCCGUACUUCGUUUACAGGAGCAACCAUGGAUGCUCCGCGUUCAAGGUGUACAAGGCCGAUUUGGAGUGGUUCCCUCGCAAGCCCCUGCUAUUCCCCACCUCUCGCGGGGUUCUAGGCAGGAAGGUUUCCAAGGAGGUACAGAUAGCAAAGUUCAAACAAUUCAGUGCAGCAGCAGCAACACCUCCAAGGACGCUGGGCUCGCAUGGUCUAGGCCACUAUCGAUUUGUUUCUCUUGGUCGAUGGCCUCUUUCGCCUAUGGUCGGAUCUGCGCGUCAGCGUCCACAGGAGGACUAGGAUCUGGCUGUGCUCCACGACCAUCACAACCAAGCCGGGGAGCGCCAGAGAUCACAACUUGAAAAUUUUAACUGCAAUAUUUGUUGGUCAGUGUCCUCUGAAAUUGUUUGUAAGGUAGUGCUCUAUUCUGUAUAGCAUCCUUGGAAGAUUGUGUGGUGUGAUGCUUUAUUUAUAAAGCGGGGCGUAUAGCCCUUUUUGUUAUUCUGUAUAACAAAGGGAAAGAGCCUCAGUUUGGUAUAGCAAUGGGGGUGAUCCUUCGUUGGAAGAAACAUUAGACUUACUGUUUUUUUAUACUAGCAUAGUGUUGGUUGUUAAUUUUAAGUGUAUCAUCAGUUUUUUCAGCCAAUGAAGUUAUGCUCACGACAUGGAGAACUUCGAGGACAACCUGCCUGAACAGUUUCUACCUGAUUAUUGAACUAGGCCAUUUACUAUACAAAUAGUUAUUUUGUUGCAAGUUACGCCCGUUGCUUCUAAAUACUACACUUUUGGUUGCAUUUUGCAACUAAGAAUGACACAAGCAGACUCUAAAACAUUCGAGCAAUGCCCAAGGUUAGUGCAGGAAGCAUAGUAGUUUGCUUUAGUAGAAAUUAUAUUCCUUUUUUCCACUACUGUGAACAUGGACGUGAGUAGGUAAUUUCUCCUAAAAAAACCUAAUUAAUGUAUUGUUGAACCUAAUUUUGAGAUGAUUUUUAUUCUACCAUUGUACAGUGCACAUUAGCAUCGUCUAAAUACAUAUGUCUUUGGGGGUUUCUUUUUGGUGGCAAAUUGAUUCUUGCAAUCAUAGCGGAAAGGCCAGCAAUAAGGCACUUUACACUGAUGAAAUUUGCAUAACUAUUCCUCUUUGUGAUACGAUUUCACCAAAAGUUUCAACAUUCAGAUGUUUACUUAGUUAAACCCGAACUGAUGCACCCACCCAUACAUGUAUAAGCUCCAAAAAAAACAAUAUGCAAAGAAUUUUUCAGCUUUCGGGCUAUAAGCAUUAGACAUUUUCAAAAGAAAUGCUGAAUGUUAGUAUCAAUUGAAUCAAUUUGACCUUAACACAGUGCAGGUACUGUUAAAUCUAUAGUUGUAAUUUAUUCAUCUGUAACUUGAUUUUCUUUUCACUUCUGUUUUUAUAAAUUCAUGUAGUCGGCUAUAAUAAUGAUAUUUUUUUUUCUUUUGAGAGAGAAAUUGUGUGUCUGCUCUGGUUUCAGUUUUAACGUCAGCUCGUUACAAUCCGUAACUACUUAUAGACUACUUCAUCCGGAUGGGUUUGCAACUUUGUGUACAGACUGCUUCAACACUUCUAUUUUCUAUAGGACUUGGAUUAAUAAUCUCCAACAAUAUGGUCAUGCUUCUUAUAUUCACUUUCAGUUCUAAAUACAUUUGUGCUUUUCUCUAUGUUGUACUACUAAACUAUGUGUGCUCAACUGAACAUAAAAAUAUGAUGGGGUGGUGGUUUCAGCCAUAGAAAGAAUUGAUGUGGAGAACAAAGGAAAUUUUCGACGGACGAAGAACUCGCUCGAGAUGCUUCAGUGAUGAUUUUAUAUAGCAUUUUAUCUAAACCUGGGUUCCUUCUUUCAGACUGGGCGGUGCCAUAUGAUGUGAAGCCGGUGUAAUAACUUUUUCAUUUGGCAUCAGUGGACAGUGGUGAUGUGGCAACCUUUUAGACAAUUUGCCACCUGUAACACAAUGUAAAACCUCAUACGAGCUGGUUGCCUUCUUGGUAGUUGUUGCGGCUUCUGAAUUAAGUGUACCGCUAUGUUUAAAACGCCAUGAUCAGAAGCUAUGGUAGGUGUAUCAAUUGUGGGUGGCUAUUCCUAAGAUUGAUUCUUAUUGGGUCAGGGGCAUGUGAUUUCGUUCUCCCGGUGCAAC